AGUCGAGCGAGUUGCCUUGAAGAUCGGAGUGCUUGCACUCUGUGAAACAAGAUACAGGCUAGCGGCGGACGGGUGAGUAACACGUGGGUAACCUGCCCAAGAGAUCGGGAUAACACCUGGAAACAGAUGCUAAUACCGGAUAACAACAGAUGAUGCCUAUCAACUGUUUAAAAGAUGGUUCUGCUAUCACUCUUGGAUGGACCUGCGGUGCAUUAGCUAGUUGGUAGGGUAACGGCCUACCAAGGCGAUGAUGCAUAGCCGAGUUGAGAGACUGAUCGGCCACAUUGGGACUGAGACACGGCCCAAACUCCUACGGGAGGCAGCAGUAGGGAAUCUUCCACAAUGGACGCAAGUCUGAUGGAGCAACGCCGCGUGAGUGAAGAAGGGUUUCGGCUCGUAAAGCUCUGUUGUUGGUGAAGAAGGACAGGGGUAGUAACUGACCUUUGUUUGACGGUAAUCAAUUAGAAAGUCACGGCUAACUACGUGCCAGCAGCCGCGGUAAUACGUAGGUGGCAAGCGUUGUCCGGAUAUAUUGGGCGUAAAGCGAGUGCAGGCGGCUCGAUAAGUCUGAUGUGAAAGCCUUCGGCUCAACCGGAGAAUUGCAUCAGAAACUGUCGAGCUUGAGUACAGAAGAGGAGAGUGGAACUCCAUGUGUAGCGGUGAAAUGCGUAGAUAUAUGGAAGAACACCGGUGGCGAAGGCGGCUCUCUGGUCUGUUACUGACGCUGAGGCUCGAAAGCAUGGGUAGCGAACAGGAUUAGAUACCCUGGUAGUCCAUGCCGUANACGAUGAGUGCUAAGUGUUGGGAGGUUUCCGCCUCUCAGUGCUGCAGCUAACGCAUUAAGCACUCCGCCUGGGGAGUACGACCCGCAGGUUGAAAC
rnacentral:rRNA from 1 species